UACGUAGGGGGCAAGCGUUGUCCGGAAUUAUUGGGCGUAAAGAGCGUGUAGGCGGUCCGGUAAGUCAGCUGUGAAAGUCAAGGGCUCAACCCUUGAAAGCCGGUUGAUACUGUCGGGCUAGAGUCCGGAAGAGGCGAGUGGAAUUCCCGGUGUAGCGGUGAAAUGCGCAGAUAUCGGGAGGAACACCAAUGGCGAAGGCAGCUCGCUGGGACGGUACUGACGCUGAGACGCGAAAGCGUGCGGAGCAAACAGG
rnacentral:rRNA from 1 species